rnacentral:rRNA from 1 species
CCUACGGGAGGCAGCAGUGGGGAAUAUUGGGCAAUGGGCGCAAGCCUGACCCAGCAACGCCGCGUGAAGGAAGAAGGCUUUCUGGUUGUAAACUUCUUUUCUCAGGGACGAAGCAAGUGACGGUACCUGAGGAAUAAGCCACGGCUAACUACGGGCCAGCAGCCGCGGUAAUCCGUAGGUGGCAAGCGUUAUCCGGAUUUACUGGGUGUAAAGGGCGUGUAGGCGGGACUGCAAGUCAGAUGUGAAAACCACGGGCUCAACCUGUGGCCUGCAUUUGAAACUGUAGUGCUUGAGUGCUGGAGAGGCAGACGGAAUGCCUGGUGUAGCGGUGAAAUGCGUAGAUAUUAGGAGGAACACCAGUGGCGAAGGCGGUCUGCUGGACAGCAACUGACGCUGAGGCGCGAAAGCGUGGGGAGCAAACAGGAUUAGAUACCCGGGUAGUC